UCCUACGGGAGGCAGCAGUGGGGAAUCUUAGACAAUGGGGGAAACCCUGAUCUAGCCAUGCCGCGUGAGUGAUGAAGGCCUUAGGGUCGUAAAGCUCUUUCGCCUGUGAUGAUAAUGACAGUAGCAGGUAAAGAAACCCCGGCUAACUCCGUGCCAGCAGCCGCGGUAAUACGGAGGGGGUUAGCGUUGUUCGGAAUUACUGGGCGUAAAGCGCGCGUAGGCGGAUUAGAAAGUUGGGGGUGAAAUCCCGGGGCUCAACCCCGGAACUGCCUCCAAAACUGCUAGUCUAGAGUUCGAGAGAGGUGAGUGGAAUUCCGAGUGUAGAGGUGAAAUUCGUAGAUAUUCGGAGGAACACCAGUGGCGAAGGCGGCUCACUGGCUCGAUACUGACGCUGAGGUGCGAAAGUGUGGGGAGCAAACAGGAUUAGAUACCCUGGUAGUCCACACCGUAAACGAUGAAUGCCAGUCGUCGGAUAGUAUACUAUUCGGUGACACACCUAACGGAUUAAGCAUUCCGCCUGGGGAGUACGGUCGCAAGAUUAAAACUCA
rnacentral:rRNA from 1 species